UACGAAGGGGACUAGCGUUGUUCGGAAUCACUGGGCGUAAAAGCGCACGUAGGCGGAUUUGUAAGUCAGGGGGUGAAAAUCCCGGGGGCUCAACCUCGGAACUGCCUUUGAUACUGCGAAUCUUGAGUCCGAUAGAGGUGGGUGGAAUUCCUAGUGUAGAGGUGAAAUUCGUAGAUAUUAGGAAGAACACCAGUGGCGAAGGCGGCCCACUGGAUCGGUACUGACGCUGAGGUGCGAAAGCGUGGGGAGCAAACAGG
rnacentral:rRNA from 1 species